AUCGCACUUAAUCUUUUCCUCAACGUCAAUGGUUUCAACCCCGCCAUGAUAUUAUUUAAAACUGACUUCCCAAUUCCCUAUCUCACAUUUAAUUCCAUUCCAUAUGCCCCUAGCUAGCCCCUAUUUAAGUAGCUUGAACCUCCUCCUUUGUUCCGUGUAAGAUCACACACAAAAAGGCACGUAGCAUCAUCUGCUAAAGAAAAUUAAUCCAAUUACCGUUGAAGAGAAUAAAGCUUGUGGUGAUUGCACUACUAGUGUAGUGUUGAUGCUGGCAAGCUCUUCUAUGGCUGCAAAUAGGAUGAAAUUCACGCGAAAAUUGGACGAGAGAGAACUAAGUAAUGAAUCUGAUGAUAUAUAUCACCAUUCAAUCCCUGGAAUGGGUGGACCUGGCGAACGUACAGUCGGUGAGGAAUUUAGUAAACAUUACUGGCAUCACAAUCCUCACAAUCAAGGACUAAGGCACACCUUAAUUAGUUGAUGAAGGAUAUAUGUAUCACAUGCUGUAUAUAUGCCCAAGUCUUGGAGUGUUUGAUGAGUAAUGAAUGCUAGAUGAGUGUGUUGGUAAGAUAUGUAUAUAUGCAAGGAAUUAAAUUACUGAGAUCAGUGUAUCAAUUUAUAUAUGCUGGGGCAGCGUACGAUGCAAACCCUAGUGGUUCCAUGUACGUUUCCAUAUUGGUAUGCAAGAAUGUAUGAGUUGGUACCCUAAAGCUAUGUUUGUGAUUGUACAUAUAUAUGUGUCGCUUAAUGCUAGUUCUGGUGUCGCAAUUACACAAUCGGAGUUGAGUUAAUAGUAAAUAAAACAAGACUUGGUUUUAUCAA